UCUGUGCCAGCAGCCGCGGUAAUACAGAGGGUGCAAGCGUUAAUCGGAAUUACUGGGCGUAAAGCGCACGCAGGCGGUUUGUUAAGCUAGAUGUGAAAGCCCCGGGCUCAACCUGGGAUGGUCAUUUAGAACUGGCAGACUAGAGUCUUGGAGAGGGGAGUGGAAUUCCAGGUGUAGCGGUGAAAUGCGUAGAUAUCUGGAGGAACAUCAGUGGCGAAGGCGACUCCCUGGCCAAAGACUGACGCUCAUGUGCGAAAGUGUGGGGAGCGAACAGGAUUAGAUACCCUGGUAGUCCACACCGUAAACGCUGUCUACUAGCUGUUUGUGACUUUAAGUCGUGAGUAGCGAAGCUAACGCGCUAAGUAGACCGCCUGGGGAGUACGGCCGCAAGGUUAAAACUCAA
rnacentral:rRNA from 1 species